rnacentral:rRNA from 1 species
CCUACGGGCGGCAGCAGUGGGGAAUAUUGCACAAUGGGCGCAAGCCUGAUGCAGCCAUGCCGCGUGUGUGAAGAAGGCCUUCGGGUUGUAAAGCACUUUCAGCGGGGAGGAAGGCGUUAAGGUUAAUAACCUUGGCGAUUGACGUUACCCGCAGAAGAAGCACCGGCUAACUCCGUGCCAGCAGCCGCGGUAAUACGGAGGGUGCAGGCGUUAAUCGGAAUUACUGGGCGUAAAGCGCACGCAGGCGGUCUGUCAAGUCGGAUGUGAAAUCCCCGGGCUCAACCUGGGAACUGCAUUCGAAACUGGCAGGCUAGAGUCUUGUAGAGGGGGGUAGAAUUCCAGGUGUAGCGGUGAAAUGCGUAGAGAUCUGGAGGAAUACCGGUGGCGAAGGCGGCCCCCUGGACAAAGACUGACGCUCAGGUGCGAAAGCGUGGGGAGCAAACAGGAUUAGAUACCCUGGUAGUC